GGAGAGGUGCCUGAGUGGUCGAAAGGAACGGUUUGCUAAACCGUCGUACCUCAAUGGGGUACCGUGGGUUCGAAUCCCACCCUCUCCGCCA
rnacentral:tRNA from 1 species